rnacentral:rRNA from 1 species
AUGCACGCUGGCGGCGUGCCUCAUCCAUGCAAGUCGCGCGCACAGACGAGGAGCUUGCUCCUCUGACGUUAGCGGCGGACGGGUGAGUAACACGUGGAUAACCUACCUAUAAGACUGGGAUAACUUCGGGAAACCGGAGCUAAUACCGGAUAAUAUAUUGAACCGCAUGGUUCAAUAGUGAAAGACGGUUUUGCUGUCACUUAUAGAUGGAUCCGCGCCGCAUUAGCUAGUUGGUAAGGUAACGGCUUACCAAGGCGACGAUGCGUAGCCGACCUGAGAGGGUGAUCGGCCACACUGGAACUGAGACACGGUCCAGACUCCUACGGGAGGCAGCAGUAGGGAAUCUUCCGCAAUGGGCGAAAGCCUGACGGAGCAACGCCGCGUGAGUGAUGAAGGUCUUCGGAUCGUAAAACUCUGUUAUUAGGGAAGAACAAAUGUGUAAGUAACUAUGCACGUCUUGACGGUACCUAAUCAGAAAGCCACGGCUAACUACGUG